AGAGGGGGCAAGCGUUGUUCGGAAUUACUGGGCGUAAAGGGCGCGUAGGUGGCCUUCUAAGUUGAACGUGAAAUCCCUGGGCUCAACCCAGGAACUGCGUCCAAGACUGGGAGGCUUGAAUCCGGGAGAGGGAUGCGGAAUUCCAGGUGUAGCGGUGAAAUGCGUAGAUAUCUGGAGGAACACCGGUGGCGAAGGCGGCAUCCUGGACCGGCAUUGACACUGAGGCGCGAAAGCCAGGGGAGCAAACGGGAUUAGAUACCCCGGUAGUCCUGGCCCUAAACGAUGAAUGCUUGGUGUGGCGGGUAUCGAUCCCUGCCGUGCCGAAGCUAACGCAUUAAGCAUUCCGCCUGGGGAGUACGGUCGCAAGGCUG
rnacentral:rRNA from 1 species